rnacentral:piRNA from 1 species
UGACAAACUUUAUUUUUCCCAGGCAGGUU